GACGAACGCUGGCGGCGUGCUUAACACAUGCAAGUCGAACGGAAAGGCCCUGCUUGCAGGGUACUCGAGUGGCGAACGGGUGAGUAACACGUGGGUGAUCUGCCCUGCGCUUCGGGAUAAGCCUGGGAAACUGGGUCUAAUACCGGAUAUGACCUUCCAUGUAGUGUGGGGGGUGGAAAGAUUUAUCGGUGUGGGAUGAGCCCGCGGCCUAUCAGCUUGUUGGUGGGGUAAUGGCCUACCAAGGCGUCGACGGGUAGCCGGCCUGAGAGGGUGGACGGCCACAUUGGGACUGAGAUACGGCCCAGACUCCUACGGGAGGCAGCAGUGGGGAAUAUUGCACAAUGGGCGGAAGCCUUAUGCAGCGACGCCGCGUGGGGGAUGACGGCCUUCGGGUUGUAAACCUCUUUCGACAGGGACGAAGCUUCGGUGACGGUACCUGUAUAAGAAGCACCGGCUAACUACGUG
rnacentral:rRNA from 1 species